UCUCGUUCUCAGAGUGACGUGGAGAACAUCCUGGAUACGAGAGCAAGCGAUACGGCUCGCCAUUGGUUGAUUUUUCCACGUGACUACUUUUGACCAAUCACGUCGCUGAUUUUCAGAUUCCUUCUUCCCGCCUUUGGAUCCAAGAUGGAGGGAGGGUAAGUUGAAUCGGGUUAUUCUCAAACUGGCCGAUUUUUACGCUUUAGUACAAAAUCGCAGCAUAGUUGGAGGAAAGGCGAAGUUGUAUACAUCACUGAUAGCCUUCCCGACAAAAUGUGACCAACUUUGUAGCUAUCCUGAGUUGCUCCACCUGCCCAUUCUGUUAUGAACUACAGUAAAGGCAUCUGCUUUCAAGAUAUCGAUAUUACCCCAGUGAACCCCAGACAGACCAGUGAGU